rfam:Picea glauca, whole genome shotgun sequence.
AUGUACAUUCCUACAACAUAGAAUUAAUGCAGUCGAUCCCAUUAGAAAUUUGUAGUUAGGCACACUUAGGCUAGAGUAGUAAUGGGAUGGGUGACCGCUCGAGAAGUCCUAGUGUUUUACAUG